UUGCUUAAUAUGUUAAUCACUGUCAAACUUUACUGUCUGUGAAAUGGUGCACUUGUAAUUUACCUUUUUAUAUGUUGUCUGCACUACAGGAUUUGUCUCCCUACUCCUGCAGAGCCCCAGCAUUUUUUUGCACCCUAAAUGGUUGCCUAAGCAUGGUUGUGAUCAUGAAGAACUGUGGAGAAUGGUUACAACAAUACAAAAGAAAUAAGGGGUGAGAUGGUAAGGUCCAGGUAGGUUCCGCCCUACCCUUCUCCCUCAAAAUCCACAAAACUCCGGUGGAGGAAGUGAAAGUCAGUGGAAAUCUCAGUUUGGAUGUAUCUUUUUCUGUUGGUCACAAAGGGACCAUCCUUGAUUUGUACUCAGACAAAUAUUGGGGUAGCUGAGAUUGGGGAGAGAGGUGAGUGGCCUAAGUUCAGGGCUCAGGUCAGUGAUUUCCAAUCAUGGUUUACAAAAUUCUCCAAAUAACAACUCCUUUUAAUUCACUUUGAGUUGUAAAACCCAUUGUAUUGUGAUCCACAUUGCCUUCCUUGGAGGGCUGAGGGGAAAAAGUAUAGCGUCAGACCAAGUUUGACCGAUCAUCAUGGUUACAAAAUUUAGGAAACCUUGGCUUAAGUCUUUAUCCCACUUGCUACCUCGUCUCGGGCACCAGCACAUGAUAGUUGAGGAAAAAACUCCGGCGGAUUUAUCAGUGGCCUGCACUAUUGGCGGGGCUGGGAUCGGAGGCCUCGGAAGGAGGGAGUUAGGCUGGCAAGGGCGAAAGUGAAAGUGGCGAAGUCCCAGGCUAGAAGGAAAAGGGAAAUAACACAGUGGGAGCCCGGGCUAGAGCUGGAACUGGAACCUCACAGAGCAGCAAAUGCUCAGUGCCUUGAUUGCUAAGCCAGCGCCUCCUCCCCAACCCGCCUCCCUGGUCCCAUACCCCAGGGGAUUCGUUUCAGUUGGGGAAUUUUUGAGAGAAACCUGUCCCCAUUUUCCCUUAUCUACCUCUGUUUCUCUCAGGAACUCUCCCUUCAUCUUCAACAAAUAUUAGAGAAUGAUCUUUGCCAUCCUGGUUUUUCCUAUGAGAUUGAGGAAGUGAACACUCCACAGAAGGAAACACAUACAAAUAAACUAACCAACUCCAACUCUCAAGGCUGAGGCUUAAUGGAAAGGCACUGUAGGGGACUGGAAAAGACUCUCACUGAAUGUGGAGCCAGAGGGAUCCACGCUCUGCCACUGGCCAGGUCACCACUCUCCAUGUGUCAGAGGUCCUUGGUUUCUCACUCUGGGGUCCUUCACUCUGGACUGCUGGUCUGGCAGCUCUGUGAGUCUAACUACUGAGAUAUGAGGAUACAGAGCCAGAUUGGGUUGGAUGGAACAUGCUAAGCCUUCUGCCUCAGCCCAGGAGAACAAAACUAUGAUGUUGAGGCUGUUGAUGAUUUUUUAGGUUGACUCUCCCUUCUUCACUGCUGCCUUCUUCUUGUUGACUGCAGUCAUAGGUAAGACAUUCAUCUCAUACUACACUGAUUGUGUGGCUGGAAUUCUGAGGUUCCUUCAUUCUUACAAGCAAGCAAACAAACCUUCAAUUGAUCCCCUCAAGUUAAGCUCAGCAAUGGAAAGAAUACUGACUUUAGAGUCCUAGCAUCUAGCUUUAAAUCCUACUUUGACCUUUACUCCCUGUGUGACAUUGGGCAAGUCCCUAAAGAAAGAAAAAUUCUGUGAAGAAGGCAAAGCUGAUGAGAACAGGACCUAAAGAGAGGUUGGAAUUGCCCAUCUUCUCUCUACAUCCCAGAAGCUGGAAGAGCUGAGAUCCCUCUUCUCUCCCACUCUCACCAACUCUGCCUGCCUCUGACACAAGCAUGAAACAUUGAGAAAUCAAUUUCCACCAAUCAGGAGAGAGUACCAUGUAAUGGCCCUUUGAGCCAAGGCUUACACAGCUAAACUAGAAAAAUUACGAUCUACUCAUAUCCUACUCAAUUCUCAACCUCUUUUAGUAUGACUUUUGUCUAUCAUACAACUGAAAGUUCUCUCUUCAAGGUAUCCAAAAAUGACUUAGUUGCUAAAGACAAUGGACUUUUCUCAACCUUCAUCCUUCCUGGUUUCUCUACUACUUUUGUCAUUGUUGACUUUCUCCCAUUCUUGGGGAAUUUUUUCUCUGUUUCCCUUUCACUGUUUUCCCUUAGUUUUCCUAACAUGUUGAUCACUUCUCUCAUUCUGUUUUGCUGGGUCGUAUUCAUGACGUACACUCUUAGUUGGAAGUCUCCUAAAUUUUUGUUCUGGGCCUACUUUCCUCUUUACCCACUUUCCCAUUUUACCCACUCUCUACCACCACCACCAUCACUACUUAGUAGUAGUAGUGACUCCUACUCCUAGUGCAACUGUUACUGUUACUACUAGUGUUGUUGCUGCCACUCCAUCUCUCAGCUCUGGACAUUUUCUCUGGUUAGCCUCCAUACUCUCCCUUGUCAGCUUCACCUAUACUUACUUCCCUGAUUUACUUUAAGCCCUAACUAAAAUUCUAUCAAUUAUUGGAAGUCUUCCCCAGCCCCUCUUAAUUCUAGUGCCCUCCCUCUGUUAUUUAUUUGCUAUUUAUUUUCUUUGUA